rnacentral:rRNA from 1 species
UACAGAGGUCUCAAGCGUUGUUCGGAUUUACUGGGCGUAAAGGGCGCGUAGGCGGCGCGGUAAGUCACUUGUGAAAUCUCUGAGCUUAACUCAGAACGGCCAAGUGAUACUGCAGUGCUAGAGUGCAGAAAGGGCAAUCGGAAUUCUUGGUGUAGCGGUGAAAUGCGUAGAUAUCAAGAGGAACACCUGAGGCGAAGGCGGGUUGCUAGGCUGACACUGACGCUGAGUGCGCGAAAGCCAGGGGAGCAAACGGG